UACGUAGGGGGCAAGCGUUGUCCGGAAUCAUUGGGCGUAAAGAGCGUGUAGGCGGCUCGAUAAGUCUGCUGUGAAAGUCCAGGGCUCAACCCUGGAAGGCCGGUGGAAACUGUCGGGCUAGAGUCCGGAAGAGGCGAGUGGAAUUCCCGGUGUAGCGGUGAAGUGCGCAGAUAUCGGGAGGAACACCAAUGGCGAAGGCAGCUCGCUGGGACGUUACUGACGCUGAGACGCGAAAGCGUGGGGAGCAAACAGG
rnacentral:rRNA from 1 species